UUUUGAUUAAGCUAUGUAAGGGCUUGAAGUGAAUGCCUAGGUGCCAGAAGGCGAUGAAGGACGUAGCAAGCUGCGAUAAUCCACAGGGAGCUGCAAGCAAGCGUUGAUCUGUGGCUUUCCGAAUGGGAAAACCCAGCCGGUUUACCGGCUAAUAUUUGCACAAUUCAUAGGCAAAUAUGGCGACACGAGGUGAAGUGAAACAUCUCAGUAACCUCAGGAAAAUAAAACGAAAUGAUUCUGUCAGUAGUGGCGAGCGAACGCAGAAAAGCCCAAACCUGCUGAACUUGUUCAGCGGGGGUAGCGGGAUCCCGACAUGAAAUGCCAGCCUGAUGCUAAAUCCUUUGGAAAAAGGAGCAUAAUCCGUGACAGCCGGGUAGGCAUCGGAAAAGCAAAUUUAGGGAAAUCCCAAGUAGCGCGGUGCACGUGAAACUCUGCGCGAAUCCGUCCAGACCACUGGAUAAGGCUAAAUACUAACUGGCAACCGAUAGUGAACUAGUACCGCGAGGGAAAGGUGAAAAGAACCGCUUUGAGCGGAGUGAAAAGAUCCUGCAACUUCAAGUCUACAAUGUGUUGAAGCCGAUUCAUUCGGCGACAGCUUGCCUUUUGCAUAAUGAGUCUGCGAGUUAUUGUCAGUGGCGGUCUAAAUCAAAUGAUGGAGACAAAGCGAAAGCGAGUGUGAAUAGCGCGCCAAAGUCGCUGGCAAUAGACCCGAAGCGGAGGUGAUCUACUCUUGAGCAGGUUGAAGCCAGGGUAAAACCUGGUGAAGGACCGAACUCGUGGAUGUUGAAAAAUCCUGAGAUGACUUGAGAGUAGGAGCGAAAGACUAAUCAAACCCCGUGAUAGCUGGUUCUCUUCGAAAUCGCUUGAGGGCGAGCGUUGAAGCUGUUCUCCAAGAGGUAGAGCACUGAAUGGCUUAGGGGCCAUACCAGGCUGCCAAAACCAAUCAAACUCCGAAUUCUUGGAUCCCGUGCUUCAGCAGUCAGACUGCGAGGGAUAAGCUUCGUAGUCGAGAGGGUAACAGCCCAGAUCACCGGCUAAGGUGCCAAAACAGGAUUAAGUGGAAAGGAUGUGACGUUGCUCAGACAGUGAGGAUGUUGGCUUAGAGGCAGCCAUCAUUUAAACAGUGCGUAAUAGCUGACUCAUCGAGCGAUGUCGCGCCGAAAAUGAUUGGCGAUCAAAUUCUGUACCGAAGCCGUGAGCGCAAUUUGCGCGGUAGAAGAGCGUGGGCGCGUUUGUGAAGCUGGAGGGAAACCGACAGUGGAAAUUCGCCCAGUGAGAAUGCAGACACGAGUAGCGAGUAAAACCAGAUUAAAAUUCUGGUCGCUGAAUACCCAAGGUUUCCUGGGGCAGGUUCGUCCUCCCAGGGUUAGUCGGGUGCUAAGAUGAGGCCGUAAGGCGUAUUCGAUGCACAAAAGGUUAAUAUUCCUUUACCACAGCAAAUCAGGCCCGUUCCCCGUGGUUCAGCACGUUGUAGUCAUCGAAAGACUAAUCUUAGGCGCAAGCCGAAGAAUAAUGUGCGUAUCUGCGGCGAGAAAAAAGCGGCAACCUUGUUGUUGUGCCCGUACCGUAAACCGACACAGGUGGGUUCGUCGAAUAGACUAAAGCGCGCGAGAGAGACCUCUCUAAGGACUCGGCACAUUGACCUCGUAACUUCGGGAGAAGAGGUACUCUAUGAGUCCCAGAAAAUAACGCUUAGCGACUGUUUAACAAAAACACAGCUCUCUGCCACGUCUUGACGACAAAGUAUAGGGAGUGACAAGUGACCAAUGCGGAAAGAUCAAGGCAAGGGGUUAGUCUAAUAGCGAAGCCCUGAACCCAAGUCCCCGUGAAUGUCGGCCGUAACUAUAACGGUCCUAAGGUAGCGAAAUUCCUUGUCGGGUAAGUUCCGACCUGCACGAAUCUUGUAACGACUAAGCGACUGUCUCGGAGAGGAUCUCGGCGAAACUGUAAUGGCGGUGAAGAUGCCGCCUUCCCGCAGUAGGACGGAAAGACCCUAUGCACCUUUACUGUAAGCUCGUAUUGUGUUCUGGCAACUUAUGCUUAGCGUAGGUGGGAGACUUUGAUGCUGAUGCUUCGGUUUCAGCUGAGUCGCAAUGUGAAACACCACCCUUGAGUUUCUAGAAUUCUAACCAUGAUCCUUUCAUCAAGGCAUGGAACAGUGCGUGCAGGUCAGUUUGGCUGGGGCGGCUUCCUCCAAAAUGGUAACGGAGGAGUGCGAAGCUGGGCUCAGCAUGGUUGGCAAUCAUGCGCUGAGGAUAUGGCUAAAAGCCCGGUUAACUGUGAGACCGACAGGUCAAGCAGAUGCGAAAGCAGGCCCAAAUGAUCCGAUGGUUGAAUGUGGAAUUGCCAUCGCUCAACGGACAAAAGGUACGCUAGGGAUAACAGGCUGAUCGCUGCCAAGAGUUCAUAUCGACGUAGCGGUUUGGCACCUCGAUGUCGGCUCAUCGCAUCCUGGGGCUGGAGAAGGUCCCAAGGGUCCGGCUGUUCGCCGGUUAAAGCGGUACGCGAGCUGGGUUCAGAACGUCGUGAGACAGUUCGGUCCUUAUCCACUGUGGGCGCAGGAAAUAUGAGGGGUUCUAACCUUAGUACGAGAGGACCGGGUUAGACGCACUUCUGGUGUGGCAGUUGUCUCUUCAGGGGCAUCGCUGCGUAGCCAUGUGCGGACAAGAUAAGCGCUGAAAGCAUCUAAGUGCCAAGCUUUUCCCAAGAUUUUAUUUCCCAAUCGCAAGAUUCUAAAGGUUCCCGCCAGACCAGCGGGUUGAUAGGAUGAAAAUGCAAGCACAGCGAUGUGUUCAGUUGAUCAUCACUAAUAAACCGUGCGGCUUAAUCUUU
rnacentral:rRNA from 1 species